CCAUUGCCUCAAGCGGGCCUCUUGGAUUUAUCCAACUGGUUCACUGUAGGCGCAGGCGGGAACGACAUUUAUCACAGCGUGUCACGUGCCCGAUCCCGCCAUUUACUCCUUGGCCUACUCCUACUCACAAUAGGGGUAGGCAUCUUCCUGUUACCAGCUCGAUAGGCUGGUAAUUU
rfam:Hepatitis C virus isolate QC105, complete genome